UACGGAGGGUGCAAGCGUUAUCCGGAUUCACUGGGUUUAAAGGGUGCGUAGGUGGGCUUGUAAGUCAGUGGUGAAAUCUCCGGGCUUAACUCGGAAACUGCCAUUGAUACUAUCUGUCUUGAAUACCGUGGAGGUUAGCGGAAUAUGUCAGUGUAGCGGUGAAAUGCUUAGAUAUGACAUAGAACACCAAUUGCGAAGGCAGCUGGCUACACGAAUAUUGACACUGAUGCACGAAAGCGUGGGGAUCAAACAGGA
rnacentral:rRNA from 1 species